rnacentral:rRNA from 1 species
UACGGGGGGGAGCAAGCGUUGUUCGGAUUUACUGGGCGUAAAGGGCGCGUAGGCGGCUUAACAAGUCACUUGUGAAAUCUCCGGGCUUAACUCGGAACGGCCAAGUGAAACUGUCAAGCUAGAGUGCAGAAGGGGCAAUCGGAAUUCUUGGUGUAGCGGUGAAAUGCGUAGAUAUCAAGAGGAACACCUGAGGUGAAGACGGGUUGCUGGGCUGACACUGACGCUGAGGCGCGAAAGCCAGGGGAGCAAACGGG